rnacentral:rRNA from 1 species
AUGAGGCGGCAAGGCCACCGUGUUGUGAGAGCUCGGCGAGGAACUGGAGAAGGGAGUUCUUCUCAUGCUGUAGGCAGGAACUUCCGGGAGAGGCCAAGGAGAUCAGCAGCACUAGAGCAAGGCCAAGGGAAGUAUCUCCACAGCAAGGCGGUGAUAGCUCGGUUCAAUAGCUCCGGCGAUCUCUACACCAUCAACAAUGCCUCUUCUCCAUCACCUCAAGCCAUGCACGCCUCUGUCACCUUAUGGCAUCGCCAUUUCGGUCACCCCACGGCCGCCACAACCACCAAGCUUCUUCAAGAGUUUCAGCUUCCGCAUGAUCGCGACUCCCACGACGCCUCCUGA